rnacentral:tRNA from 1 species
GGGUCUGUAGAUCAGUUGGUUAGAUCGCACCCUGAUAAGGGUGAGGUCGGUGGUUCAAGUCCACCCAGACCCACCA